rnacentral:lncRNA from 1 species
UGUAGGCCAGAUGCGGGCAACUGGGUGGAACUGACAGCAAGAGAAUCCAGGUUACUUGAAUUGUCUUGCCCUCUUUUGAUGAAGCCAAGGCUCAACUCUUCUGGGGACAGGAAGCAACGACUUGCCCCUCGCCACUACCCUCAGGAAUUUCUGUGGCCACACCGUACCCCUGAAUGCUCCCUCGGUGACUGAAAGCAACUUGUGUUUUGCCGUCGGAGAUGGGGAAUAAAACCUAAGUCAUUAACACGAAUGCUAGGGGAGUCCAGGAGGUUGGCUCUCCAGAAUACAUGAUCAGGAAGCCCUUUAUCUCUGUCAACAAGAGAGAUCCAGAGAUGGAGCCCAAUGGAUCACAAUGACUUUUUGACCUGUGUUUCCUGUUACAUGGUGCAUCCAGAGAAUGAGGAGCAUUUUCCUAAAGAGAGGCCAGGUUCAUCCCAGUGGAUCCAAUACUGUAUUCAUCUGCUCCUGAAAAACAAAUAUCAGAGUUAUUUAUUUAUUCAAGUUUUGUUUGAGACAUUUCACCCUAUUAUCCUCUGGCUGGACCACUGGACCUGCACUCAGAAAUGGGAACCAGCUGACUAAAUAAACACUUGCCUAUGGAAAAAGAAGCAGGAAACACGUUUCCAAAACGAGUAAUAUUAACAAACUUCCAAGGGAUAUACAAUCCAUAAUUAAUGACAAUUUGGAGGAAAAAAGACAUAAAAACUUGGAAUUGAAAUAUGACUCUGAGAACAGGUUGGUGAGAGUUUUUUUUUCUCUCAGUAUCUGUCCACCCUUUUUUCUGGCCCCUUUCCCUUCUGACAGCCACAUUUAUUCAAAUUCUUUCUGUAAAUGUCUUUAGUCUGAGGAUUUAGAUCUUGGGGUUCAAUAUUUCUUGCCUGGACUCCCAGAGUGACCUGUUGAUAGGAGCUUAUUAAAAAAAAUCUCAGUAUGUCAUGUGACCCAAUGUAACUGAUUCUAGCUAAACUCACAGGAGGGUUGGUCUUCUGGCAAGGCUGCCUUUGGGGUCGGAUUCAGUGACAAUGGACCACAUACUAGGGCAGACUCCAGUCUAAGAGCCUAGGCCAAGAUUCAGCAGGCCUCGGGUGCCUCGAGAAUGGGUUUGACCUCCUGGAUCUGCUCCUUGAGAGAAGCACUCCAUCUAAGUCCCCCGCACCAGCCCCUACAAUGCCAAAAUUCAGGAGCCAUUCACCCGCAUGCGCCAGGCUAUCAUAUCACUCUCCAGUCUUUCUCUCAAGUGUGUUUGGGACAGAAAUGGCUAGUGACCCCUGAAGAGUCAUGGUCUCCUUGCAAGUGAACAGUUGCUGUUGAAAAGCAGCUGACCAUAAAGCACUGCAUUUCUGAGACUACCCCCACCUUCCCACUACCCACAGUCCUCCCUGGGUGAUUCAUUCUAGCCAGUGAAAUACGAGCCUGAGUGAUGUGACAUUUUCCAGCUGAGGUGGUUAGGUAGCCAGUGUUUCCCCUCACUUUCUUCCCUCCUUGUAGCACUAAGGUAGCAGCCCGCAUCCCUGAGUCACUGUAUGGAUGAGAAGCCCAGGAGAGCUGCCUGGCCAGGACCAUCUGAUUAGAGUUUUUAUGAGCAGGAAACAAACUUUUGUGUUUGGCUGUUAGUAUAUUGAGAUGUUUAUUCCCCCACUAGCCUAUACUGACCAAGAUCAUGCCCGUGCAGCAUUGCCCAAAUAUGCCUUAGGAUAAGUGGGAUUUCCCCAACUCCUAACUUUCUCUGUGCAGAAGAGUCCAGUCCAGUCCUUCCUAUGUCCCUGUGGCCUUGUUGGAGUCUCUGUGAGUCUCUCUCUCUGUCUCUCUCUCUCUCUCUAUGCUCCCAAAUGGAGCCUCUCUGUGAGGAAACAGUAAAGCGCAUGUAGAAGUUAAAAGCAUGGUCUAUGAGUCAGACUGCUCAGGUUUAACUCCAAACUCCACCACUCACUAACAGGUGAGACCUUGAGCAAAUAGUUUAACGUCUCUGGCUUCAAAUCCUCUCUC